rnacentral:misc_RNA from 1 species
GAUGAAGAACGUAGCAAAAUGCGAUACUUGGUGUGAAUUGCAGAAUCCCGUGAACCAUCGAGUUUUUGAACGCAAGUUGCGCCCGAAGCCUUUUGGCCGAGGGCACGUCUGCCUGGGCGUCACGCAUCGCGUCGCCCCCCACAAUUCUCCGUAAAGGGAACAUGUGUUUUGGGGGCGGAUAUUGGUCUCCCGUGCUCAUGGCGUGGUUGGCCGAAAUAGGAGUCCUUUCGAUGGACGCACGAACUAGUGGUGGUCGUAAAAACCCUCGUCUUUUGUUUCGAGCUGUUGCUCGCAAGGUAAACUCUUUAAAAACCCCAAUGUGUCGUCUCUUGACGACGCUUCGACCGCGACCCCAGGUCAGGCGGGACUACCCGCUGAGUUUAAGCAUAUCAAUAAGCGGAGGA